GUUUUGGCUGUAAGCCGGUGGCGCUGAGGUGGUGGCGGCGGCGGCGCUACCGCCCCGUGGCGCUCAGCCUCAAGGCUCCCUCCCAGCCUCUCCUGAGCCCUCCGGGGCCUGCGCCGGCCAGCGCAUCCAGCCGGAGCUCCCAGAACACUCGCGGGUCCCCGCCGACUUCAGCUUCAGCGUCGCGGAAAUGUCUGAAGAGGAGAUCCAAAAGAAGACACUAGCUUCAGCUGUAGCCUGUUUAGAAGGGAAGUCACCAGGGGAGAAAGCAGCAAUCAUACAUCAGCAUCUCGGUCGUCGAGAAAUGACAGAUGUGAUCAUUGAGACCAUGAAGGCCAACCCAGAUAAUUAUGUCCACUGACUGGUUGCAAGUAAAACAGAUGAUGGAAAACUAGUACAGUAUGAGGGUGAUACUUGCCCAAAGGAGAAAAUAGACACCUUACAGUUAAAGUUUCUGAAAGAUGAGUUGAAAGCUGCAAUGGAAAAAAAAAAAAAAAAGAAAGCUGCAAUGGAAGAAAGUCUUCAGAAGCAUCCCCCAUUGCACCAAGAAGUAAAGAUCAAAGUAAAGAAGGCAGCUUCCAGACCAGAUUUCCUUCUUCGGUGGAAACCUCUCAGUUGAAAUAGUUCACAGUAUUAUGUAUCUAUUCAAGACAAGAACCUUUGGUUUAUCUAAUAUGUGGCCACAUAGGAUGUGGACAAUAUGUGAGUCAACAUGCCUAUAAGCACUUAGAGGAGACCCAACACACGUAUGCCAUGCAGCCCACCAACCAUCGAGUCUGGGACUACACUGGAGGUGAACACCACUCUUAUUUUCUAAUUUGGAUUCAUUCUGUCUGAAAACAUCUCCAUCAGAACUUUCUCUAAACCUUCUCACCGCUUGAAAUCUUCCUGACAGCUGUGGCAAACUCCAGUUCUCAUGGUGCCCCAUAGGGUGCUAUUUCCUAUGAAUGGCCUGCAUUACACAGGAUAAAGAGAGUUAAUGCUUACACUCCUGCCCUCUCACUUUUUUUUUUAAAUCAAAAUGAUUUAAACCACUUUUUAAAGAAGUAUUGCAUGGCAUUUAAUUUGGAUCUGUAAAAACAAAAAUUUUGUUGAAGUUAAAGGCAUAAUUAUGGAGACUUUUCAUUCUGAAGAAACACACCUUGGUUGACCCAUUCUUUUCUUUACAUAAUUAUUUCUGUCAACUGGUUUCAAGUAAAACAGAUGGAAAAAUAGUACAGUGUGAACAUGAGGGUGACACUUGGCAGGAGGAGAAAAUAGAUGCCUUACAGUUAGAGGUAAGAUAUUUUAUUAGUAAUUACUAAAUACCUAUGUCUACUGCUUAUUACUGUUCUAAGUUGGAAGGUUGUUUGGGCUUUUAAUUUUGCCAUUUGCCCUGCAUGUUAGCUUUUGUUUUUAAGAUCUAUGUUGCUCUGAAGGAUUACUAAAAUAUUUUUAUUCCAUCUCAUUUUCAGCUUUGAAAGUCUGGGUUUCACUGAGUCGUAUUACUUCCAGUGUCACGUUCCUAGUUGUCUCAGGUUCAGGAUUAGGGUUGUCCUCUGUAGCUGUGAUAAAACCGGAGAUAAGAAUCUUCCUGUUGGCAUCACAGUAGCAGUUGGAAAUUGAGCAAACUUGGUCAGGAUGAGGAAUCUCCAAAGCAUCUUUCCAUGCCAAGAAGCUUUUUCACAUAUACUGGGCUGGAGUUUAUGAACUGGACCCUAAACACAGAUGAAGUCAUUUAGGGGUAUUCAUAUAAUUAAACAACAAAAUUAGCACAGUCUGAUUUUUCUCACUGAAGUAAUUCCCAUCUAUUGUAAAAUUGAUGUGUAAAUUUUAUGUUAAGGGAGGAAUAGUUUAACAUGAGGUCUAUUUUAUAUAAAUUUCAAAAUGAUGGUUUUAAAAACAAAUACCUUAACCAUAGGAGGAAGUGGACAUUUGAAACUUGAUCAUCUCCAGACUUUUAAGGUCAGUGGAAUGGCCUAAAAUAGGAUUAUUGUUACUAUUAAUAAACUGUAUUAAUCUGAAAAAGCUCAAAUCUUUAAUGUUAAAAUUUUUAGACUAAGUAACUAUAAUAUAUUAAGUAUGUUUAUUCAGUGAGUAUUUAUUGAGAGUUAUUCUCCAUGUGCUGGGAAUUCAGCAUUGAAUAGGCUCCAUGCUCUCAUAGAGUGUACAUUCUAGUGACACGCACAUUUUCCCAAUUGUCCUUUCUUUCUGUUACCCUUCAUUCUCUAGCCUGCAAACAUGAUUAGAUCGCUUCCAGUCCCCUGGAACAGUUUCCAGAAUGCAGAUGUGACUUACUGUCUCUCACAGGCAUGUCCAUUGAUUGAGCUCAGCUAGACAGGGCUUGCUCAUGUUGCACAGUUAAGGCACCUGGGGCCACAGGUGCAAGGUGGCUUCUUCACUCAUAUGGCUGACAGCACACAGUUGCUUGGGUUUCCUGACUGUAUGGCAGGCUCAGGCUAGUCUGACCUCUCACAUGACAGCUGGUUUCCCCAGAGAGUUCCACAAUACCAGGGAGACUUCUAAGAUCUAGCUUUAGAUUUUGCCACCAAAUUCCAUUGAUCAGCAUGAGUCAUGGGCCCCGUCCAGGUUCACAGAGAGGGAGGAGAGCCUCCACACCUGCCUGAGAAGAGCAGCAAAGAAUUAGCAGCCACCUUUCCUCUACCACACUACUGUCAUGAUUGUUGUAAGAACCAAGUUAGAUUAUUCUUUGAACCAUUUAACAAAUUUUUAGUGAACACCUGUGAUGGGCCAGGCACUGUUCUAGGGCUGAGGACACAGUGGGAACCAAACUCAGUAAAGAUCUCUCUCUCAUGGAGCUGGUAUUCUGGUGGGCAUAGAAAAUCAAUCAGAUACACAAGGCAACCUCAGACUGCAGUCGUAAGUGCAAAAGAGAAAAACAGGAUCCAGACAGUACCGAAUAGGGGGAAGAUAGAGAAGGCUAGCUCUGUGCUGUUGUGAGGAGGAACAGCUCCCGCCUCUGGGGAGAGACUGCUGCUGGUUUAAUGAAGCCAGUAUCAGGGAUGCACAGGCCUCUCCAUUCACUCAGGGAAGGAGUCCUUAUGCAAAGCUACUAUUCUCGUUUAAGAGUCUCUGCUCCCAAAGCCAAGAAGUGGCCUCAGGGGAGUACAGAGGGGAAAUUUCCCCUGAGGUUAAGGAAGCUGGUCUCUCAGGGAGGGGGCUGAGGUCACUUUAGUCACUUCAACCAAGGUGAAAGUGAAGGCAAGGACACCCCUCCAAGCUCUUCCUUGCCCAAGAGCUGUCCCAAUGUAGCUUGACCCUGGCUUAGGACUCCAGUCACUCUGGGCCAGGGUCUGGGACCUCAAACAAGAUCAAGGCAUGAAGCAAAGCCCAGAACUUGGUUGAUGCCAGGGCCUGAGAUUUCAGGGCAGCAGGACCCAUGGAGGGCUGGCUUGGCUCAGUGGCCAGGGGUUGAGACAAGAAUCAGGAGGAAUCUGGAUCUUUUAAUCACAUUGCCCCAUUUGUGUCACGUGGGACAAAGGACUUCACCUGCUCACACCUUUAUUUCCUCAUCUGUUGAGUAGAAAUCACUGUAAUACCCCUCACAGAGGGGCACAUGAGAGGCUUCCAAGUGUUGCCUUGAGCCUCACGGAGCGAGCAUGCAAGGCAGUGACCAUAAUGGUAGUGCCUGGAUGACACAAGAAGAACCGGGCAGUCUGGGUCCACUAGGGGUCACUUUCUUAGGCUCAAGUUUGGCAUUUCAGCACAAUGCCGCAGCACCCGUCACGUCAGAAUCUGAGCUGUGCAUCUGCAGUGAGAUGCUCAGGGCCUUCAGGAGGAGAGUGUGGGUGAACGUCAGCUAGGUUCUUGGGAAAUGUGUGGGUUCACAUUAGUUGGUUGAUCAUCAGUCUGGAGGGAAAAGACACCUCUGUUUCUUCCUGCAGGAGAGCUGGGAAGUGGGUGACAGGUAGUUUCCAGUGGAGGGAACAGGCGUGGCAGGAGGAGUCCAGGCUGGAAGCCAGGUAGACCCCAGUUCAAGCUGGACUGGGCCACACCCUGCCCACAUACUCCCCUCUCUGAGAAUCGACCUCACCUCCUGCUGAACGUGGAGGAGAGUGAAGCCCACGGGGAGAAGCAGAGAUAACACCCAUGAAGGACGGAGGAGGGCCUGGCCCACAGUCUGCGACCACUCUGAGCAUCUGUUCCAUUGCCACCCUGAGUGCAGGUUCAGGAUUCACAGCUUCACACCCACAGCUUCACUGAAGCACUUGAAGGGAGAGGUCAGCUACAGAGGGAAACAGGCUGCAGUGGUGGGGUGAGCCCGACUAACCUUGUACUGUUUCCUCCUCCUGAUCAGGAUAUCAGCACCUGGUCCCGAGAGGAUGACCCACCCAAAUUUGGGUUAUGUACUCAACAAAGAUAGUUGAGAUUUCUGAACUAUAUUCUGGUCAUAGGCCGGUAUGAUGCUGUUGUGACCACAGUAGAUUUCCCGUCAGUCUUAAUCUUAUGUACUAUCCUUUCUCUUCACCAAGGUCUUUAAGUCUGGGAGUGAUGAGUUUCCAUGUGUGUUUUCGAGGGGUUCCUCUAGGGACAGCAUGGAAAAUCGGUCCUAGAGAGGAGGACAGGCUGCAACAGCAGAGAGCUGACGUGAGAAAUGAUGAGGGCCUAAGUAGAAGCAACAGGGCUGGCUGGGAGGGAGAGCAUGGAGGGAGACUUGACAGGUCGCUGGGUGGAGACGAAAGAGAGGAGGAGUGAAAGACGUGUGAGGAUGCGGCUGACACUGCUUCAGGCUGAAGUGUGAGUUUUUGUUCUCCACUCCUUGUGU